rnacentral:lncRNA from 10 species
CCGAAGCAGAGAAGCUCCUGCCCCUGGCUUAAAAAUUGACUAUCCUGGCUAAAAACAAAAUAUUCCCUUUGCUUCUUCAGAGAAGAUUCAACAGGAAGGACAAUAGCAUCUAGUGCCUCCAUUGAGAUUUUUUAAAAAUAAACUUUUUAUUUUGGAAUAAUUUCACUUUUACAGAAAAUUUACAAAUUAAUACGAAGAGUUCUCAUGUUCCCCUCUCCUAGUUUUCCCUAUUGUUAACAUCUUACAUCACCACAGUACGUUCAGAAAAACUAAGGAACAAACAUUGACAGGUUACUAUUGUUAGUUAAACUCUAUAAUCUUUAUUCAGGUUUCACUAGCUUUUCCAUGAAUGUCCCUUUUUCGGUUCCAGGAUUUCAUCCAGCAUAUCAGAUUACAUUUAGUUGUUGUGUCUUCUUAGUUAUAAUUUUCCAGUCUUUCCUUAUUUUGAUACUUUGAUAAUUUUGAGAAGUAUUGGUCAGGUACUUUAUAUAAUGUCCCUCCAUUUGGGUUUGCAAAGUAUUUUUUUCAUGAUUACACUGGGGUUAUGGGUUUCUGGGAGGAAGACCACCAAGGUAAAGUGUCCUCUCAUCACAACCUGUGGGAUGUACCCAGGUGCUGUCCACAUGAUUUACCUGUGGUUCCACCAUGAUUUGAAGGCAGAGGGCAGGCUCUGAGAAGCCUCCUACAGGAUGAGGGUCUUGAUUCAGAGUCCUUCCCUCUGGAUGCACAAGACCAUGGAUUGCUGAUCAAGAAGGACCCUGCAAAGCUGGAGAUGGGGUGGAGUGGGGCAGUGCUGCACAUGGGAAGAGCAACAGACUAGAAGCCAGGUCUGUCUGGCACUAGUCCUGACUUCACCGCUUCUGAGCUGCGUGAUGUUGAGUGAGAGUCUUUAACCUCCCUGGCCUCAGUUUCCUCAUUCACCAAUCAGUAUGUAACCCCUUCCCCUCCCUUCCUUCUAGGGUUGGCAACUGGAUCAAAUGACAUUAGAUUUGAAAAGACUUUAAAAAGUAUAAAAGACAGUACAUAGAUGGGAAGUCAGUCUUUAAGCCUGCUUUGGAUUUUCCAGCAUUUCAGCUCCAGCAGGAGGAGAAAGAUUUACUUUCUAUUUACUUAUCACUGUUAACAAGCAAACACAUACAAGUCAUAUGGGUGUGUGUGUGUGUGUGUAAUCUUUUAACUUUUUUAAAAGUCUGAUUUAUUGAAAUAUAUUUACAUAUAGUAAAAUUCAUCCUUCUUAUGUGUACAGUUCUGAGUUUUGACAAAAAAUACAAUCAUGUAAUCCUUACCACAAUUAAGAUAGAGAACACGAGACAUAGAAUACUUCCAUGACCUCUUCACCCCCAAAUUCCCUCACACUUCUGUCAUCAACCCAUUCCCCUACUCUUAGCCCCUGGCAAUAUUGACCUGUUUUUUGUUCCUAUUUUCUACAAUGUCAUAUGAAUUGAAUCAUGUUGCCUUUAUUGUUUUUAGUUCUAAAAACAACAUUAUUGAGGUAUAACUGAUAUACAAUAAAAUGCACAUACAAAAGUAUACAACACGUAAGUCUUGGUUAUGUAUACAUUUGUGAUAUCAUCCCCACAAUCAGGACAGUGAACAUAUACCCAUCACCCUAAAAGUGUCCUCAACUUCUACUGUCACUGCUUUUCAGCAAACUGAUGGUUCUCUGCAUGUACUCUGAGGCACAGUGCUCACUCCCACUGUUAUGCCCUCCUUCAGGUGGCUUUCUUUCCCUUAAGCUACCACCUGGCCCUUUUGAUCUCUCCAAAUCCUGCCCAUCCUUCAAGUCUACGCUUUAGCCCUCCCCACCACCCAAUGUCUAAAGGGUCCUUUAAAGUUAUCCUUUGAGAAUAAUUCAGCCCACACUUGCUACUUCCUUCUCUACUCCUAAUGUACUUACAGACAACCUCUCAUUGUGGUCUUUCUUUAUAUAACAGUGUUUGUAUCUUACUGUCCUAAGGUGAGUGGCCCAGUGUUUAGCAGCAUGGUCUCUGGGGUUAGAUAGUUAGGUUCAUAUAGUUAACCUUAGGCUCCUGUUUAACCUCUGUCUCUGUGUCAUUUUUCCUUAUCUGUAAAAUUAGGAAGACAAUACAGUAUCUACCACAAAGGGUCUUGUGAGGAUUAAUUGGGUUUAUCUGCAUAAAGCACUUAGAAAAGAAUCUUGUUAUACAGUAAGCACUUAAUAAAUGUCCACUGGCUUCAUCAGUACCAUUACCGUUGAAAGCCUUUUAACAGCAAAAACUACAACUCUCACUGUGUCCACAGUAGUGGGCUUGUGGAUGGAGCUCAGAUAUUUGUUGGGCUUUUGAUCAAGGGACCAUUCCAGUGAAUCAGAAAGUUCCUGUGACCACUUAACAUAUUACACGCUUGCUUGUGUACUGCUCUUAGAUGAUAUAAAAACAAAUCAAAUUCCCAAACCAAAAAGCUGCACUCUUUUGUCUGGGUAAAUACAGCUAUGACAUGUCUAUUUCCAUGGUUUAGAAUAUCACCAGUGGGAAUCUACUGUGGAAAAUUGAGUACAACACUAUCAUCAUAUGAUUUGUUUUGCUCAUAUUUGGCUGUGCCAUUGGCUGCGGAGCCAGGCAGCGAACUCCACACAAUGAGGAGCCUGUGAAAACGCAGAGAAGGCAAGAAAGGAUGCAAACAUUUAGGCAGCAUCUGAUGGUAGCUGGCUUGUGGUUUACCUGGCCUUUGGUUAGAUAACUGUGCCUGAUCCCUAUGGCCAGGAAGGAAGGAGCUGAAGAAUUCACAUUUGGGCUGAUGGGCCUGGGGUAGGGAUGACCAACAGACCACAUGCUUCUUGUCUCUUCUACUCCCUGAUCCUCUGAUAGACAGGGCUAAGUGAUCAUCCACUCCUUCCACCCUCCAGCCUCCGAGUGGGCCACUUUUCAAGCAUGGAAUUCCAGGUUCUGCACCCUCGGAUUCAACCAACCAAGGAUUGAAACUAUUUGAAGGAAAAGAACAAUAAUAAUACAAAUAAAAGCCAAUAACAAUAUAACAACUAUUUAUGUAGCAUUUACAUUGUAUUAGAUAUUAUAAAUAAUCUAGAGAUGAUUUAACGCACAUGAGAGCAUAUGCAUAGGUUAUAUGCAAAUAGUAUGUCAUUUUAUAUAAGGGAGUUGAGCAUCCACAGAUUUGGGUUUCUGCAGGGAGCCCUGGAAUCCUGUGGAUACCGAGGGACGAUUGUACAUUUUGAGAACCGAAGCCCGGUGCUACCCUGUUGCAGCGAUGAAGUAUCCAGGUCACCUGGAGAAAGCUGACAUAAGAGCAGGCACACAGCAGGAAGCUUUGAUCCUCAUCUUCUCUCUGGCUGCAGCCCUCAGCUCUUGUGCACCAACUCUGACCAAUGACUAGGACUGGCUGCUCGGAGUACAGCUGUAUUGAGAAAGAUUCUGAGGCUGGGUCUGCAUUCAGCAGGAAAAAAAAUGAAGAGGUGUAACACUAUGGACGAGUGGGCAACUGGCUCUUCAGGCUUGGAACCAAGAGGGGGCAGCAGAGAGCAGAGAAGAAUUGGUUGGCUUGGGCUGACCCAGACCUAGGAAAACUUCCAAUCUUCUUCUUCUUCCCUCAAAACCGAAUCCUUGUGGACUCACUCUUGAGACUAUUGUCCACACAAGUGGUGUGGUCCAAGGCCACAGCAAGAAAGGUCUGAGGGAGUUCUUUGGGGUUCAGGUGGAGAAAAGCCUGUGCUGGAUGCCAGGCUGCUCUGAGAACAGGAAGGAAGAUAAUAAUGUUAACAGCAACAGUUACAAUUACCCAGCCCCUGUAGGGUGCCAGGCCCUCUGCCAAGGUGCUUUCUUUUCAUUCUCUCAAAGACUACUUGAGGUGGGGAAACCCCCAGUUUACAGAUGAGAAAACAGGGUCCCAGAGUGGUUAAAUACCUUGCCCAUGAUCACGUGACUAAGGGAGGGCCAAGCCACAUUUUAGACUCUUGCCUGUCCUGCCCUCUGUGUUAUGGUGCCCUUCCAGGAAGGAGGCAGAAAGGUGCACCUGGAGUUAGAAUAUCCUUGGGGAGUGUCCCGGACCCAAGGGAAGGCAAACGGUCCUUCUGGUACAGACUGCUGUCUCCUGAUGGCCACGGGUCUCCUGACAGAUUUAGCCAAUUCACUGGCUCACAGGUCCAUGCACCAUCCUCAGCAGAGCCGGGGUAAGGUAGCUGGGCUCGAACAGCCCCAGAAAAAGGCAAAAAGAAAGAUAACAGAAACUUGUAUGGAACUUUCAAGUACUCACUGUGGAAGUCAUUGAUUUAUCUGCCUACUGUGAGAGUUAUGUCACGUUGGAAGGUCACAUUAGAACGCCCCUCACCUCCUGCAGCCUCAGCUCCACCCUGGGCUCAGAGAUCAAUCCUUGCCUUAUUUAGGGAAGCACAUCCAAGCAUAUUUGAAACUUUUGGGAUGGGCUUGGGGAUACUGGCACCAGGGACAUCUUGCUGUCAGUACUGUCCUGAUUCUGAGAACUCCACUAACGCCACAUUCCUCAAUCCAAGCCUGGAUCUGGGACUCAGGCUGCUGCCUCACUAAAUGCCUUAUCUUUUGGGUCACUGCAGACCAGGGCCCUGCCUUCUUUAGCCAAUGUCUGUUUCCCUCAUCUGGCAGUAGGACAUCAGUCUACCAAAAGAGUCACAUGUUCAUAUCCCAGCUUAGGUCCAAGUUGUGAACCAACUUCAUUUCUUAAUGUAAUCACUUUUUUGGUAUUGCUUUUUUUCUCUAAAAAGUAUGUAUAUUUUCUGAUCCUACAUGUAAUAUUUUCUGGGCCAGUUGCAGUGGCACACACCUGAGCUACUCAAGGAAGCUGAGGCGGGAGGAUCCCUUGAGCCCAGGAGUUUGAGGUUACAGUGAACUAUGAUUGCGUCACUGUACUCCAGCCUAGACAGCUAGCAAGACCCCAUCUCUUAAAAAAAAUUGUUAGAAAAUACUUUAAAGCAUCAAGGAGAAAAAAAUUUCUCCUAUCUUUCUGGAUACAUUUUUCUCAACUGCGCUUAUUACUAUCUAACACCGUCCUUUACUUAGGUUUUCAUUGUUUGUCUCCUUCUCUAGAAUGGGAGCUUGACAACAUGAGGGAUUUCAUGUUUUGUUCACUGCAAGUUCCUUAAUUCCCAGAACAAUACCUGGCACAUUUACAGAAUGAAUGAAUUAAUUCAUAAUGCCAUGACAUCAGAUAUAAUUUUAUUUAAUAUUAUAGAGGGAACAUUUUUCAAUGUCAAUAAAAUUUUUUCAAAAGCAUCAUUUUAAAUGGCUGAUAAUAAUCUAGGGUAUGGACAUCUAAGCAUGUGUUAAGUAUGCCUGCAGUUUUGGAUACUGAAAGAUUACACAGAUUAAUUUGAUUCCCCAUUUAUCAAGCUACAGCAGGGCCAGGCUCACUUUGUUGUUUGGUUUCUUAGUUUCUUGUUCCUGGUCGAAUGAACAGAUGAGACUGGUGAAUUAUGGAGAAUUUCUGUCACUGCCCUCUCUAGCCUUGGCAUAGCACUGUGGCUCCUCUCUCCAAAUUUCUAGGUGAUCCAGCCGGCUGGGCUCUAUGUACUGAAGCAUAGGCUGCCCAGCGUAAGCAGAAUUGCUAACAGGAUACUAUUAUGGUACCCACCUGUGUGGCCUUGUGGGGGUGGGGGAACUUACCUUUGUUCCUGUCCUCCUCUAGAAAAUCAGUUACAUUUCUCUUGCCUCCCUCCCAAGGAUGAUUUCCAGGGAAGCAAAUUAAAAAGCGGUGAAAAGCCUUUAACAAUUACUCAGAAAUCUAUCAUUUCAUCCUCUUUCACCUCCAGUUCAAGUUUAAGAACA